CCAGACUCCUACGGGAGGCAGCAGUAGGGAAUCUUUCACAAUGGGCGAAAGCCUGAUGGAGCAACGCCGCGUGCAGGAUGAAGGCCUUCGGGUUGUAAACUGCUUUUAUAAGCGAGAAAUAUGAUGGUAACUUAUGAAUAAGGAUCGGCUAACUACGUGCCAGCAGCCGCGGUCAUACGUAGGUGGCAAGCGUUGUCCGGAAUUACUGGGUGUAAAGGGAGCGUAGACGGCACUGCAAGUCCGGAGUGAAAGCCCAAGGCUUAACCAUGGGACUGCUCUGGAAACUGUGGAGCUUGAGUGCGGGAGGGGCAGGCGGAAUUCCUAGUGUAGCGGUGAAAUGCGUAGAUAUUAGGAGGAACACCGGCGGCGAAGGCGGCCUGCUGGACCGUAACUGACGUUGAGGCUCGAAAGCGUGGGGAGCAAACAGGAUUAGAUACCCGAGUACG
rnacentral:rRNA from 1 species